rnacentral:rRNA from 1 species
AUUGAACGCUGGCGGCAGGCCUAACACAUGCAAGUCGAGCGAGCGGCGGACGGGUGAGUAAUGUCUGGGAAACUGCCUGAGGGAGGGGGAGAACUACUGGAGACGGUAGCUAAUACCGCAUACGAUCAGAUGUGCCCAGAGGGGAUUAGCUCGUUGGUGGGGGAACGGCUCACCCAGGCGACGAUCCCUAGCUGGUCUGAGAGGAUGACCAGCCACACUGGAACUGAGACACGGUCCAGACUCCUACGGGAGGCAGCAGUGGGGAAUAUUGCACAAUGGGCGCAAGCCUGAUGCAGCCAUGCCGCGUGUGUGAAGAAGGCCUUCGGGUUGUAAAGCACUUUCAGCGGGGAGGCGUUACCCGCAGAAGAAGCACCGGCUAACUCCGUGCCAGCAGCCGCGGUAAUAC